CUGGGCGGGAACAGACCUCUGAGCGACUUGCUGUUAAUUCUUCACACUAUGGUUGUGUGUGUGCUGUCCCAUGUUUGCAGUUUUUUUUAAGGCAUCUGGAGAUCCCCUCUCAGUGUCUCGCGACCCCAAAUGGGUCCUGACUCCAACGUUGGGAACCCCUGGUUUACCUAAUGCACCCCGGAAUAAGAAGACCAGAACCAACUGCUUCUUAAACUUUGCAUCAUGGUCAUGCUAACAGCCUCUAGUUGAGACUACAGCUUGGCUCGUCCUUCUGCUUCAUCUGCUUCCUCAGUGUCCUGUCUGACCUAACCAAGC